rnacentral:rRNA from 1 species
CCUACGGGCGGCAGCAGUGAGGAAUAUUGGUCAAUGGACGAGAGUCUGAACCAGCCAAGUAGCGUGAAGGAUGACUGCCCUAUGGGUUGUAAACUUCUUUUAUAUGGGAAUAAAAUGUUCCACGUGUGGGAUUUUGUAUGUACCAUAUGAAUAAGGAUCGGCUAACUCCGUGCCAGCAGCCGCGGUAAUACGGAGGAUCCGAGCGUUAUCCGGAUUUAUUGGGUUUAAAGGGAGCGUAGGUGGAUUGUUAAGUCAGUUGUGAAAGUUUGCGGCUCAACCGUAAAAUUGCAGUUGAAACUGGCAGUCUUGAGUACAGUAGAGGUGGGCGGAAUUCGUGGUGUAGCGGUGAAAUGCUUAGAUAUCACGAAGAACACCGAUUGCGAAGGCAGUUCACUGGACUGCAACUGACACUGAGGCUCGAAAGUGUGGGUAUCAAACAGGAUUAGAUACCCUUGUAGUC